CAUUGGAAACUGGAAAACUUGAGUGCAGAAGAGGAAAGUGGAAUUCCAUGUGUAGCGGUGAAAUGCGCAGAGAUAUGGAGGAACACCAGUGGCGAAGGCGACUUUCUGGUCUGUAACUGACGCUGAUGUGCGAAAGCGUGGGGAUCAAACAGGAUUAGAUACCCUGGUAGUCCACGCCGUAAACGAUGAGUGCUAAGUGUUAGGGGGUUUCCGCCCCUUAGUGCUGCAGCUAACGCAUUAAGCACCUUACCAAAUCUUGACAUCCUUUGACAACUCUAGAGAUAGAGCCUUCCCCUUCGGGGGACAAAGUGACAGGUGGUGCAUGGUUGUCGUCAGCUCGUGUCGUGAGAUGUUGGGUUAAGUCCCGCAACGAGCGCAACCCUUAAGCUUAGUUGCCAUCAUUAAGUUGGGCACUCUAAGUUGACUGCCGGUGACAAACCGGAGGAAGGUGGGGAUGACGUCAAAUCAUCAUGCCCCUUAUGAUUUGGGCUACACACGUGCUACAAUGGACAAUACAAAGGGCAGCGAAACCGCGAGGUCAAGCAAAUCCCAUAAAGUUGUUCUCAGUUCGGAUUGUAGUCUGCAACUCGACUACAUGAAGCUGGAAUCGCUAGUAAUCGUAGAUCAGCAUGCUACGGUGAAUACGUUCCCGGGUCUUGUACACACCGCCCGUCACACCACGAGAGUUUGUAACACCCGAAGCCGGUGGAGUAACCUUUUAGGAGCUAGCCGUCGAAGGUGGGACAAAUGAUUGGGGUGAAGUCGUAACAAGGUAGCCGUAUCGGAAGGUGCGGCUGGAUCACCUCCUUUCUAAGGA
rnacentral:rRNA from 1 species